rnacentral:tRNA from 1 species
GGCGUAGUGGCGAAGUUGGUUAACGCGGCAGUCUGCAAAACUGCUAUGCAUCAGUUCGAUCCUGAUCUACGCCUCCC